rnacentral:rRNA from 1 species
CACGCCGUAAACGAUGAGCGCUAGGUGUUGGGGGUAUUGACCCCCCCAGUACCGCAGCUAACGCGUUAAGCGCUCCGCCUGGGGAGUACGGCCGCAAGGCUAAAACUCAAAGGAAUUGACGGGGGCCCGCACAAGCGGUGGAGUAUGUGGUUUAAUUCGAUGCAACGCGAAGAACCUUACCUGGCCUUGACAUGUCCGGAAUCCUGCAGAGAUGCGGGAGUGCCUUCGGGAAUCGGAACACAGGUGC